rnacentral:tRNA from 1 species
UAGGAGAUAGCUUAUACAAAGCUAUACAUUGAAGCUGUAUCGAAAGGUCCGUCCUUCUUCUAG